GGAACACUGGGGGCUCUGGUUGGUUGAUAUCGUUGUUCUUCCUAGGGGGUUGCAAAAUUACUACAGUGAUAAGCACAACCAUUUCUUACAUUUUAGAGUACUUACCAGACAGCCAUUUUACAGUGGAGAAUCUAUGACAACUUGAGGUUUGUCUAGAGGCUUUUGCAGGAUCCACAUUUCCAAGCAUAAGACCCAGUAAUUUAUUUCAAACUAGGAAGCCUGUAAGAGCUGACAUUUGCAGCUCAGAAAACCCCAGAACAUUGAGAAGCUGAAAUGAAAUUUCAAAGGAAGGAUAUGUAGUGGGGAAUUUUGUUAGGAAGAAAAAAAAGUCCUGUUGUUUAGUGUGUACAUAAGUGUUCACUUGUUUACAAAUCUACUCUAUAUGGCAAUAAAGCAUGUUCUUAAGAUAUUUAUAUUAGAUGACAGAUUCUCAGAGUUGAUAGAACUUUUUAAUAGUAUCAAGUCUAUCUACCUUCUUAACCCCAUGUUUGAAUUAUAAUUGUAACUUCCUUUCCUGAUAGUGAUCUAGGGACACAGAAGUCUGUCUGUCUGUCUGUCUUUCUUUCUUUCUUUCUUUCUUUCUUUCUUUCUUUCUUUCUUUCUUUCUUUCUUUCUUCUUUCUUCUUUCUCUCUUUCUUUCUUAAUUUCUUCUUUCCUUUCUUCUUUCUUUCUUUUUUUCUUUCUUUCAUAAAUCAUAGUUUCAUUUAAAUAAUAUGGUCUUUGAGAGUUAGACAUGAAUUUGUAUCCAGGAUCCACAUUGGGUAAUAUUAUAAAAGUUUUUUUUUUCUCUCAGUUUGGACUUCAGUUAGCAAAUUCUCUCACACAUAUGCCUUUAUCUGGGUUCAAAGAAUGCUUCAAGAUCUUAUAAGAAAUCUUCUUUUAAAAAGAUAUUACUUUAUACUUAUAGAGAAUGUUUCUUAAAUGCUUCUCAUGUUUGCACUUUAGGAUAAAGCAGGUUGGAAGAAUAUGUACUAUGAGUAUUUUGACCCAGACUAUGUUCCCUUUUAAUAAAUAGCAAUCAGGAUCAUUCUAUGUUUAAUUUCCAUAGUUAAUGUACUAUAAGCCCAGUAAUCCAUAUUUUGAUUUUCUUAGUAUACGUAGUACUCCAAGUGAAAACCUGGAUUUAAAAUUAGGACCUAGUACUGAGUACUGGCAGAGAAACAUUGCUCAACUGUGUGAAACUUUAGUCAUUGUUUGUUAUUGACUUGGUUUCUUCCAAGCUGAGUGUACUCCUUCCAUAACCAUAUUUAAUCAGUUCUAUAGUUUGUCAGUGUCUUCAAAGAUCUCAAGUCAUGAAGCAGUCCCAGUUAUGACUGUCAUUUUUAACAGUAGAAAGAACAUUGUCUUAUUCUGUUUCUGCAGCUUUGCUCAUGCUGUGCCCAAAACUUGGAAUGCCAUUUCAUUCUCCUCUGAUUCAACGUAAAUCCCAUCCAUUCUUCAGGGUAAUAUUCAGUUUCAGCUUCCAUCAUGAAGCCUUUCUUGGUCGUUCCAAAACAUGAUGCUCUUUCCAAACACAUGGAAUUGAUCAUACGCAUAAUAACAUUUACCCCACUCAUUAUGAAAAUCCUUUUAAAGAAAUUUCCCAUGUGUGGAAUACCUACUAUGUGCCAAAUUCUAUAGUGAACACAAAAAUUGAAUGGAGUCUUAAAAUGUAUACAUGGACAGAGCUAAUUAUUUGGGCUUAAAACAAAGCCACAUUAACGGAUUAGCAUGAAUGCUUUAACUGGCUUCUAUCAAUAGGUACACAUUUAUGAGAAGCAUGGGCAGGAUUGUUCUGACAUGAAAGGGAGACAUAUUUGUAAGGGAGCUUGAAAAAAAAGCUGGAGAGGCUUGAAGAUUUCCUAAGGCUAAAGAUUCCAAUAACAAGAAAGAGAAUCUACAGGGGGAAAUAAUUGUAUGUAGAAGAAAAGGUAAGAGAGAUGUCUGAUAUUUGUUCUCAGAAUGAGCUUGUAGGUCACCAUUCUCAUCCUCAUAACC
rnacentral:lncRNA from 1 species